rnacentral:rRNA from 1 species
AGAGUUUGAUCCUGGCUCAGGAUGAACGCUAGCGGCAGGCCUAAUACAUGCAAGUCGAGGGUUAGUGGAGCUUGCUCCAUGAGACCGGCGCACGGGUGCGUAACGCGUAUGCAACCUACCUAUACCUGGGGGAUAGCCCGGAGAAAUCCGGAUUAACACCGCAUAAAAUCACAGUGCCGCAUGGCACAAUGAUCAAACAUUCAUGGGGUUUAGAUGGGCAUGCGUGACAUUAGCUAGUUGGCGGGGUAACGGCCCACCAAGGCUGCGAUGUCUAGGGGAUCUGAGAGGAUGGCCCCCCACACUGGUACUGAGACACGGACCAGACUCCUACGGGAGGCAGCAGUAAGGAAUAUUGGUCAAUGGGCGCAAGCCUGAACCAGCCAUGGCCGCGUGCAGGAAGACAGCCCUCUGGGUCGUAAACUGCUUUUAUUCGGGAAUAAACCUAUCUACGUGUAGAUAGCUGAAUGUACCGAAGGAAUAAGGAUCGGCUAACUCCGUGCCAGCAGCCGCGGUAAUACGGAGGAUCCAAGCGUUAUCCGGAUUUAUUGGGUUUAAAGGGUGCGUAGGCGGCCUGUUAAGUCAGGGGUGAAAGACGGUAGCUCAACUAUCGCAGUGCCCUUGAUACUGAUGGGCUUGAAUACACUAGAGGUAGGCGGAAUGUGACAAGUAGCGGUGAAAUGCAUAGAUAUGUCACAGAACACCGAUUGCGAAGGCAGCUUACUAUGGUGUCAUUGACGCUGAGGCACGAAAGC